UUGGAAAUAGGAUUGAUGGAAUCCUUAAUAAUAUAUGAUUAUGAUAUAUUACUUGAGAGCCAAGAAAGGAGAGUUUUAGUUUUCCCUUAUGGACGGAAUCUAAGACUUUUUGGCUAAUAUAUAAACACCGGUCCCUGCUAACCCUAGACACGACAACUAAGGCUUCCCAUAGAGCAUUGUCAUAAAGCUAGGAGUUUACAGAAGAGUUGGUGUUUUCUGUUUGUCAUGGCAAACAUAAAGAUUGGAGUUU
rnacentral:lncRNA from 1 species